CGUUCCUGCUCCAGCAGCACAAUAUGAUCCACCGGCAAGGAGAGAUGCCAAUAAGGCGUCCGAUAAGAUAAUCUGUGACAGAUCAUCUGGAUUUACAGUUGCACUGUCCUGGUAACAGCAACAUAUGCAUCUUUCUCAAGAGCUCACUUGGGCAACCGGGACUGAGACUGUCUUCCACAUAUCAUUUCCCAUUGGUUCACACAGGAGUCUGUAGCUCCAAAGGGAUCAGGAGUGUGAACUUUUCCUCAUAAAGACUAAAGUAAAAGUGGAAGAAGCUAAAUGAAUUGAAAUAGAAUCCUAAAAACUGGGAGUAUUGUUGGAGAAGUACAAUUUAUCCAUGGGAUACAGAGACCAAACAGCAGAGAUUAACAGCCAAACACAAGCAGUACUAAUAAUUCCAGCUACAUGGGGAAUCAUGUAAAACCACAG
rnacentral:lncRNA from 1 species